rnacentral:rRNA from 1 species
AGAGUGAACGCUGGCGGCAGGCCUAACACAUGCAAGUCGAACGGCAGCACGAGAGAGCUUGCUCUCUUGGUGGCGAGUGGCGGACGGGUGAGGAAUACGUCGGAAUCUGCCUUUUUGUGGGGGAUAACGUAGGGAAACUUACGCUAAUACCGCAUACGACCUACGGGUGAAAGCGGAGGACCUUCGGGCUUCGCGCAGAAAGAUGAGCCGACGUCGGACUAGCUAGUUGGAGGGGUAAUGGCCCACCAAGGCGACGAUCCGUAGCUGGUCUGAGAGGAUGAUCAGCCACACUGGGACUGAGACACGGCCAGACUCUACGGGAGCAGCA